rnacentral:lncRNA from 1 species
GAAAUAUUUAGAAAAGAAGUCUUGAGUGUGACACAUACAAAAAAUAACAAGUGGUAGAAAAUAUAUAUGGAUAUAAAAUCCUUUCUAGUUCAGAGUCUAAGAUAGUUUUAGAAGUUAUUCUUCGCAUAUUUGAUGUGCUGAACUGCACUUAACUUUGGAAUCGUAAAACUUUUCUGGUAGUGCCGUGUCAAGUAAAUUAUCUGAUACAAAAUUAAUAACAACAUACAUUUAGUUACAUCCUCAGAAGUCACUCUUCUUAUCUUUCAUUGUGAAAAUAACUUCUUUUGGACUCUUUUCUCUAAAGAAGAACUUAUUGGAAUCAUUGAUCUUUUUCCGGUUGGGCAUCAUUCAUGACCUUCACCAAGUUGGAUGAUGGUGAUAAAAAAGGAAUAUGCUAUAGCUUACUAGAUUUCCAAAUUGCCAUUUCCCAAUCGACAUUGACAGUCGUCUGAUCAAGAUUUUCUUAUUCUUGUACAGGCAAGAAUACUUUCUUUUUGAAAAAAAAUGUAAAGAUAGCUAGGCAGCUGGCUAUUGCAAACGGUAUUUAUUCUGUACAGUGGUAAGAGAAAGUAAA